rfam:Firmicutes bacterium CAG:321 genomic scaffold, scf11
GGACCCUUAGCUCAGUUGGUUAGAGCAUCCGGCUCAUAACCGGGCGGUCGCAGGUUCGAGUCCUGCAGGGUCCA